rnacentral:rRNA from 1 species
GAUGAACGCUGGCGGCGUGCCUAAUACAUGCAAGUCGAGCGAACAGACGAGGAGCUUGCUCCUCUGACGUUAGCGGCGGACGGGUGAGUAACACGUGGAUAACCUACCUAUAAGACUGGGAUAACUUCGGGAAACCGGAGCUAAUACCGGAUAACAUGUUGAACCGCAUGGUUCAACAGUGAAAGACGGUCUUGCUGUCACUUAUAGAUGGAUCCGCGCCGCAUUAGCUAGUUGGUAAGGUAACGGCUUACCAAGGCAACGAUGCGUAGCCGACCUGAGAGGGUGAUCGGCCACACUGGAACUGAGACACGGUCCAGACUCCUACGGGAGGAAGCAGUAGGGAAUCUUCCGCAAUGGGCGAAAGCCUGACGGAGCAACGCCGCGUGAGUGAAGAAGGUCUUCGGAUCGUAAAACUCUGUUAUUAGGGAAGAACAAAUGUGUAAGUAACUAUGCACGUCUUGACGGUACCUAAGCAGAAAGCCACGGCUAACUACGUG